GCCAACGUGGUGUAGUGGUUUGAGCAUUGGACUAUGAAUCUAGAGAUCUGGGUUUGACUCCCUUCUUGGCC